UUUUUUUUCAAUUAGAUCGCCGUUUAGUAUUGAAGGACUUUGGAUAAAUCAAGUGUCGACAUUUGAGACUUAAAAUGGCCAGCGGUAGAAUAUCAAAGAACCUAUUUCUAAUUGAUUGGCUCUCUUCGUGACCAAGUUAAACCAAGACAGGGUGAAGUUUGUGACCUA